ACAAGUUACUUCAGAUACUGUUCCUUAGUCUAGUAUUAUCUUCUUUCCUAAAAUAUAUUUGAGGUCUCUAAAGUUGAACGGUUCUUUUAGAAUUGUAACUGCUUCAGGGCUUUAUAGCUGUUUGACUUGGGUCGGGGGAACACAAUCUAUAAAUGAGUAGUGAAAAAGGAAGACUGUCCUAUAAGACAGUACCAGUUUCUAGUUAUUUACUUCUCCUGUUUUCCUUUCUGCCCCUUUCUCUUUUCCUCUGAGGCCUUGUAACACCAUGGCAGCAGUACUGACUGUCCCAGAAGGUCAGUGCCACCAAGUUCUAGAUGACAGGGAGCAAGGCAGGAAGAUCAGAAGACAAGAGACACCCAAAGAACCCAAAAGAAAACAUGGAGAAGUCCCAAAGUCAGACACCUGCCACAGAACUCAGGAAGAGUUCCAGAGACCACCAAGUCCUCCACAAUGCAAGGCACAGUACGCAAGAGCAAAAUCACCAGCCACAUCCUACCACUACACCCCAAAAGAAAAGAAAACAGAGGGCCGGGUAUUUGGAGAAAUAAUUCCACAGCAAGCCUCUUGAGCACCCUGGUAGUGUACCUUUGAACUGCAGCUGGAAGCAGGCUCAGGUCUUGAAAACUACAGUCAGUCAAUUGUUUCUCCUGAACUCCUGAGCCAAAUCCUUUGAGCUUUGGAAGAAUGAAGUUUUAAAGGCCAGCGUCAACGGGAACAACGUUGACCACUGUCUACGAAUGACAGACUAUGAGAACAAAUGAGGAUAAACAGGAAUCUGAAGUUCUGUGCUGCUGGUUGCCCAAAACCCUGUAAAUAAACAACCUGAGUAAUUUUGUGCAGA